rnacentral:lncRNA from 1 species
CGGCUUCUCCCCUCCAUAAACGGAAGCGUCCGGCUGGGGCCCUUACCAGGUCGUCUCCAGGAAGUUCGCAUGGACCGGGCAGCUAUCUUCUACCUCCCUGCUAUGUGGAACGGUCGUUCUUCAAGGCCGAGGAGUCGAUUGCUGUGCCUGCGCCUGAGGCCAAGGCUAUUCUGGACCAGGAUGCUGCUGCCCGGAGAAAAGAUCUGGCCAGGGAUAUUGCUGCUGUCAUCCGGGUGAUGGAGACGGCCAUGGUUUUGACCGACACUUCGGUCUCCACCGCCUCGCUGGAGGAUGCCCUUUUGCAGGUUCGGACGGAGAAGGAAAGACU